GACGAACGCUGGCGGCGUGCUUAACACAUGCAAGUCGAACGGAAAGGCCCCUUUGGGGGUCCUCGAGUGGCGAACGGGUGAGUAACACGUGAGUAACCUGCCCUUGACUUCGGGAUAACUUCAGGAAACUGGGGCUAAUACCGGAUAGGAAUCCUUGCUGCAUGGUGGGGGUUGGAAAGCUUCGGCGGUUUUGGAUGGACUCGCGGCUUAUCAGCUUGUUGGUGGGGUAGUGGCUUACCAAGGCUUUGACGGGUAGCCGGCCUGAGAGGGCGACCGGCCACAUUGGGACUGAGAUACGGCCCAGACUCCUACGGGAGGCAGCAGUGGGGAAUAUUGCACAAUGGGCGGAAGCCUGAUGCAGCAACGCCGCGUGCGGGAUGACGGCCUUCGGGUUGUAAACCGCUUUCAGCAGGGGCGAAGCUUGUGGUGAUGGUACCUGCAGAAGAAGCACCGGCUAACUACGUG
rnacentral:rRNA from 1 species